GACGAACGCUGGCGGCGUGCCUAAUACAUGCAAGUCGAGCGAACCAAUAAGAAGCUUGCUUUUUGUUGGUUAGCGGCGGACGGGUGAGUAACACGUGGGUAACCUGCCUGUAAGACCGGGAUAACUCCGGGAAACCGGUGCUAAUACCGGAUAGAUUAUCUUUCCGCAUGGAGAGAUAAGGAAAGAUGGCUAUUGCCAUCACUUACAGAUGGGCCCGCGGCGCAUUAGCUAGUUGGUGAGGUAACGGCUCACCAAGGCGACGAUGCGUAGCCGACCUGAGAGGGUGAUCGGCCACACUGGGACUGAGACACGGCCCAGACUCCUACGGGAGGCAGCAGUAGGGAAUCUUCCGCAAUGGGCGAAAGUCUGACGGAGCAACGCCGCGUGAGCGAAGAAGGUCUUCGGAUCGUAAAGCUCUGUUGUUAGGGAAGAACAAGUAUCGGAGGAAAUGCCGGUACCUUGACGGUACCUGACGAGAAAGCCACGGCUAACUACGUG
rnacentral:rRNA from 1 species